AGAGUUUGAUCAUGGCUCAGGAUGAACGCUAGCGGCAGGCUUAAUACAUGCAAGUCGAGGGGCAGCGCGGGGUAGCAAUACUCUGGCGGCGACCGGCAAACGGGUGCGGAACACGUACACAACCUUCCUUUAAGUGGGGGAUAGCCCAGAGAAAUUUGGAUUAAUACCCCGUAACAUUAUGAUAUGGCAUCAUAUUAUAAUUAUAGCUCCGGCGCUUAAUGAUGGGUGUGCGGCUGAUUAGGUAGUUGGCGGGGUAACGGCCCACCAAGCCUUCGAUCAGUAACUGGUGUGAGAGCACGACCAGUCACACGGGCACUGAGACACGGGCCCGACUCCUACGGGAGGCAGCAGUAAGGAAUAUUGGGCAAUGGAGGCAACUCUGACCCAGCCAUGCCGCGUGGAGGAUGAAGGCCCUCUGGGUUGUAAACUUCUUUUAUAUGGGACGAAAAAGGGCCUUUCCAGGCCAACUGACGGUACCAUUUGAAUAAGCACCGGCUAACUCCGUGCCAGCAGCCGCGGUAAUACGGAGGGUGCAAGCGUUAUCCGGAUUUACUGGGUUUAAAGGGUGCGUAGGUGGGUUGGUAAGUCAGUGGUGAAAUCUCCGGGCUUAACCCGGAAACUGCCAUUGAUACUAUCAGUCUUGAAUAUUGUGGAGGUCAGCGGAAUAUGUCAUGUAGCGGUGAAAUGCUUAGAUAUGACAUAGAACACCAAUUGCGAAGGC
rnacentral:rRNA from 1 species